UACAGGUGAGGGUGAAUCCUGGCUCAGUGACAGAGGGACAGAGUGUAACACUGACCUGUAACACCACCUGCACUCUGACUGGCAGCACAGUCUUCACCUGGUACAGAAACGGAUCUCCUCUGUCCUUCACCACCCAGACACACCAGCUCACAGCCAGCAGUGAAGAUGGAGGCACAUACUCCUGUGCUGUAAAAGGAUCUGAGCUUCUCCCCUCCCCUGCAGUGGCUCUUACUGUGAACUGGGAUUGGACAGAACUUGUGUGUGCAGUUGUUGGAAGCAUUGUGACUCUUGCACUGAUGGCUGUUAUUGUGUGGACGAGCUGAAGAGCAGCACUUUCACAGUGCCCGUCACGAUGAAGGCGCACUGGAUUUAAUCAGCUUCAGCUAGAAGAGUGCCCUCUACUGGCCCACCAGCACACCUUCAAGCAGCAGCCAUUUCCUCUCAGAGUAGCACAUGCUGUGCCAUGAACAAGUAUUCGCCCCCUUUCUGAUUUCCUCUGUUAUUGCCUAUUUUUCACUCUGAAUGGUUUCAAAUCUUUAGACAAACUAUAAUAUUAGACAAAGAAAACCUAAGUAAACACAAAACACAAACUGCUACACACACUCUUAAUACAUUACAUUACAUUACAUGAAUGGCAUUUGGCAGACGCUGUUAUCCAGAGCGACGUACAACAACGUGCAAAGUGCACACCCAUAACCAAGGAUAAGUGCGCUGAAAAACCCUAGAGGGAAGUACAAUUUCGACUGUUACCUGCACAACAAAGAUAUGGACCAGGGCCUAUUUGAUCUUUUUUUUUUUUUUUUUUUUUUUAUAAUACCGCGACACGCAAAUGCAUAACGCCAUUACUGCACAUGCUUACCAUAAAACCCUGCUACCCACACUCCUAUAACACCAUUACACACAGUAUAACCCUGCUACACACACUCCUAUAACACCAUUACACACUUACAGUAUAACCCUGCUACACACACUCCUAUAACACUGUUACACACAGUAUAACCCUGCUACACACACUCCUAUAAUACCAUUACACACAGUAUAACCCUGCUACACACACACUCCUAUAACACCAUUACACACAGUAUAACCCUGCUACACACACACUCCUAUAACACCAUUACACACAGUAUAACCCUGCUACACACACUCCUAUAACACCAUUACACACAGUAUAACCCUGCUACACACACUCCUAUAACACCAUUACACACAGUAUAACCCUGCUACACACACUCCUAUAACACCAUUACACACUUACAGUAUAACCCUGCUACACACACUCCUAUAACACCAUUACACACAGUAUAACCCUGCUACACACACUCCUAUAACACCAUUACACACAGUAUAACCCUGCUACACACACUCCUAUAACACCAUUACACACAGUAUAACCCUGCUACACACACACUCCUAUAACACCAUUACACACAGUAUAACCCUGCUACACACACUCCUAUAACACCAUUACACACAGUAUAACCCUGCUACACACACUCCUAUAACACCAUUACACACAGUAUAACCCUGCUACACACCCUCCUAUAACACCAUUACACACAGUAUAACCCUGCUACACACACUCCUAUAACACCAUUACACACAGUAUAACCCUGCUACACACACUCCUAUAACACCAUUACACACAGUAUAACCCUGCUACACACACUCCUAUAACACCAUUACACACAGUAUAAC